rnacentral:sRNA from 1 species
CCAGAAAGUGCUAUUUCAGAUUUAGAGUCAAUUUUAAUUAA